rnacentral:lncRNA from 1 species
GCAUCGGUGAAAGUACUUUGGAGAAAUCAACAAAGGGAAGAGAUUACAUGGGAAGCGGAGGAAGCAAUGAAAUCGAAAUACCCUUAUUUGUUCAACGGUAAAAAAAGAAGUGCAAGGAGUGAAACUGGCACACUAACAAGUAAGUUUUUACAUAUGCAUGAUAUCUAUAUGAUAACGUGAAUAUCAAUUAUGAAUUCGAACUUAUUUCGGCUAAAUAACUACAUUUACAUUCGAGGACGAAUGUCCUUAAGGGGGGAAGGAUGUAACACCCCGUACUUAAUUACGUGCAUUAGCCAUGGUUAUAUGUGUUGGAGUAUAUGUAUUGAUCAUAAGUUAGGUAUAUAUGAGUUUAAGUAUGAGUAUUGAUAAUUUUGAGAUGGUUUCAAGUGUAUAGUUUGAUUAUAUGUGUAAAGGAAUCGACUUUAUUUAUACCGGAAUUUGCUCGUCGAAGUUCCU